rnacentral:misc_RNA from 1 species
AGCAGCCGCGGUAAUUCCAGCUCCAAUAGCGUAUAUUAAAGUUGUUGCAGUUAAAAAGCUCGUAGUUGAAUUUCGGGAUCAGUUGGUCGGUCGUGCCUCGGUACGUACUGGUCAAAUUGAUUCCUACCUUCUGACGAACCACGAUGUCAUUAAUUUGGUGUCGCGGGAAAUCAGGACUGUUACUUUGAAAAAAUUAGAGUGUUUAAAGCAGGCUCGCGCUUGAAUACAUUAGCAUGGAAUAAUGAAAUAGGACGUUUGAUUCUAUUUGGUUGGUUUCUAGGAUCGACGUAAUGAUUAAUAGGGAUAGUUGGGGGGCAUUAGUAUUCAAUUGUCAGAGGUGAAAUUCUUGGAUUUAUUGAAGACUAACUACUGCGAAAGCAUUUGCCAAGGAUGUUUUCAUUAAUCAAGAACGAAAGUUAGGGGAUCGAAGACGAUCAGAUACCGUCGUAGUCUUAACCAUAAACUAUGCCGACUAGGGAUCGGAUGAUGUUAAUUUUUUUAAUGACUCAUUCGGCGCCUU